ACGACUAUGCCUUCAGGGAUCAUUUCUAGAGUUCAUUCCUGGAAAAGUUUCUCUGAUCUUGUAGAGGACUGGAAAAAACAAGGAAGAGGCCCACAGUUCCUUCCUGAGGGUGAAGCCAGUUACUGCAACUGCCUUUUUGCCACUGAUGACUGUUCUUCUCUCCCCUUCUUUGGAGGGUGGUGGGAGAAAUGCAGUCUGAG
rnacentral:snoRNA from 1 species